rnacentral:misc_RNA from 1 species
UGUUUCCAAAACACUUCUUAGUAAAAUACUAAAAUCCACCAGCAAAAAUACAGCAGACCCAGCAUAUUGACUAGAUAAAGAUUCUGGUCAAGAAUUUCUACAGCAGCAGGAUCAUACAUGUGGGGAAGAAAACGAAGAGAUCUCCCCCUCACCAACAAAUAGAAUAGCAAUACUAUUCUGGAAAAUACAAAAUGCCUAAAGCUGUACAGAACAAAUUGCAAAGACUAAAGAAUUAAGAACAAAAGUACUUUGUGACUAGUAGCGGAUUUUGACCACAAGGAUAGAGGACUCAGCAACUCUAUCAAGAUUGGAAAAUUUUCCACCCUUGACUCUGUAGAAUAAUAAAAGAGAAAGCUUCCAAGGUCUACAUCAAGAUCUCAGGAGCCCAUUCUGGCCCAAUGACUCAACUCUGAAAAACGAAAGGAAACUACAAACUGGGGCACCAAAUUCGAGUCAAUAAGACUAUAAGAGUCGUAUGUUGGUCUUCUGGAAAUUGGAAAGAUACAUCGUGCAAGACGCAUUCUAAAUACAAUGUAUAACGGCCCGAUAAGCGAAAAAAAGGCAACGGCGAAAUUUCCACCACUAAUCAAGAAUUAACGUACACAUAAUGAGAUUAGACAGAAAUACAAAACCGGAUACAACUCCAGACAAUUUAAUGCAACCUAUAUUGCAGUACAUAAGAAUUCAGAAUCCUAGCACCCAACAACUCCCCUCCGAUGAGAGGGAAAAAGAAAUAACCCAGCCACAAAGUUUUAAUUGAGAAAAUCACAAAACCAAUCAAGAAAAAUGAAGGCAGUCAUACAGAUCUAGCGUAAAAACCUCGCAGAACCCUAUCGCAGAACCCUAUCUGGAACAGAAUCAAUCAGACAGUAUUUUCAAAUAGAUAACCCAAAAUAAGCUUCUCAAAUUUCCCAAAAACCUAAAUCAUGGAUUAAAAAGUUGAAAAAUAAGACAACCAACAUUCGAAAAUUUGAGAAAUGCACACAAAAAUACACAAGGGAAAAGAGAUCAAUGGGCGAGAAUAAUAC